AUUGUGUUUCAGGAUGCUUUACAGGUUGUACAGGAAUCUCAUGACCCAGAGAUGGUGGAAGUAGCAGAUGAUGUAGUGGAAGUAGCAGAUGAUGUAGUGGAAGUAGCAGAUGAUUUUGCUGAUGAUUUACAUGAGUGGCGUGCACUUCGUGCAAGGUAAGAUGAGGAAUACCUUGAAAGUCUGCAGACUAAGCAAGAAAGGGGCCAGGCACAGCGCAGAGAAGUAGACGUUUCCAGAAAACGCAAAGAGGCAUAGUGUAACUCAUUUGCUUUUUUCAAUUGAACCAAGCAUAGACAGAUUUAUUUUAUUUCUUGUUUUCUUUUGACA